rnacentral:rRNA from 1 species
CUUGGUGAACCACGCGGAGGGAUCAUUACACGAGUUGCAAAACUCCCAACCCUUUGUGAACGAACCUACCAGUUGCUUCGGCGGCAGACUCCUCUGGGGCCUAGCCUUUGCGGGUACCCCGCCGGAGUCCUACAAACUCUUGAUUUUUUGGCAUCUCUGAGUAGCUUAUAAAUAAGUUAAAACUUUCAACAACGGAUCUCUUGGUUCUGGCAUCGAUGAAGAACGCAGCGAAAUGCGAUAAGUAAUGUGAAUUGCAGAAUUCAGUGAAUCAUCGAAUCUUUGAACGCACAUUGCGCCCGCUAGUAUUCUGGCGGGCAUGCCUGUUCGAGCGUCAUUUCAACCCUCGGGCCCGUACGGGACCGGUGUUGGGGCUUUUUUUUGCCGCAUGGCAAGCCCCCGAAAGCAAGUGGCGGGCCCGCUGAGACCCCCGAGCGUAGUAGUUUACACCCAUCGCUCCCGGGGCGCCCCGGCGGGCGGCACCCAGCCCGUUAAAAGCAAC